GUUCGAGCGUCAUUUCAACCCUCAAGCUCUGCUUGGUAUUGGGUGCCACCGGCAUGGUGCGCCUUAAAAUCAGUGGCAGUGCAUCUGGCUUCAAGCGUAGUAAUACUUCUCGCUCUAGAGGCCCAGGUGACGUGCUUGCCAAAACCCCAUACUUUCUCAAGGUUGACCUCGGAUCAGGUAGGGAUACCCGCUGAACUUAA
rnacentral:misc_RNA from 1 species